UCGACUGGGGGGGAGGGGUCGCGCGCGGGGAGUAGGUGGGCACUGGGUCACGUGGGGGAUCGUGCCGUCACGUGGCCUCCGUGCAGCUCACUCCGACCGAGCGGUUGCAGCCGACCUAAGCGCUUCCACGUGCCUCUGUUUAUAAGGUGGUGGUACGACCGGCGGCGCGCGGAAGAAAACUGAAGAAGGGCGGCUCCAAGCACUGCGGACCAGCUCUCUGCCCUCGCCCUGCAGCCCAUGCCGGGGCAAGGAUCCUCCCCCUGAGCCAGAUAGCGAUGGCUACAUUUGUAUCUAGAGGCCAGGGCUCAUCCGCUCGUGCCGCAGGUUCCUUCACCUCCCGAUGCCCCUGGCCAAGCGCCCGGGCAGUCUGCCCUGAGGUACCUGGACUCCAGAAGAGAUCAGGGGGUAAAGUGAAUUUUGAUCCCUGUGGCUAAGAUUGCCUGCUGGACCCGAAAUUGAAGGAGGUGUUCCUUUAAGGAAGGAGAUGAAACAGACACUGGGCUUGAUGGAAGUCAUUUGGCUGCUGUGGGAAGGAAAAGGGAUGGAAGGGUUAGGACCGUGGGAAUGUACAACCUUUGGAUUAUACUUGUGGGGCAUUCAUCUAGUGUUUGAAAUUGGGGAGCAACUCUAUAUAUAUAUCGGGGAAAGAAA